GACGCAAAAAAAUAAUGACAGAGAAGAAGUCCCUAGGCGGUGGAAAGAAGGUUGAAGGUGCUGGAACUAACCUAUAUCGCUCUGAGGGACCAGAGGGAUGAAGACAGAGAUGAUUUGGAAGACACCUAUGGCUCGAGAAGAUGCCCACUGAAACAGGGCUCUCGAAGAGAAGGCAGACACUGGUCGAAACUCUGAAAUGGAAUAGGGCACCUAAAGGUGGGAGGACGGGUUUAAAUAGACCCUGGGAUCCGACGUCAUAAUGAUCGCGAAUCCCCCCAAGCCAGUCCACACCCGACAUGUGUCCCACUCCCCCCGGCAGGCGGCUAAAAGUGGCUGAUGAAUCAGCAGAGCCAUUAUGGCACCGUACCUAGGCCAGUGUACCGACGGAAAUUUCGAAGGGUCGCUUCGUAUCGCCUCGAUCCGAAAAGACUCCAGCACGCGCACAUUUAAUGCCAAAAUAUCUGGGGGCGGCAGUGCGCAGGAUUCGAAGGGACGGCUUCGGCUGUGCCCAUCUCUCUCUGUACUUCCUUCGUUCGAAAUUCAAACUCGAAAGUAGGGGGACUGGUGUUGGGUAUAAAAUACCCCCAGCCGAAGUCCUCAGCAGAAUC
rnacentral:lncRNA from 1 species